AUUGAACGCUGGCGGCAUGCCUUACACAUGCAAGUCGAACGGCAGCACGGGUGCUUGCACCUGGUGGCGAGUGGCGAACGGGUGAGUAAUACAUCGGAACAUGUCCUGUAGUGGGGGAUAGCCCGGCGAAAGCCGGAUUAAUACCGCAUACGAUCCACGGAUGAAAGCGGGGGCCCUUCGGGCCUCGCGCUAUCGGGUUGGCCGAUGGCUGAUUAGCUAGUUGGUGGGGUAAAGGCCUACCAAGGCGACGAUCAGUAGCUGGUCUGAGAGGACGACCAGCCACACUGGGACUGAGACACGGCCCAGACUCCUACGGGAGGCAGCAGUGGGGAAUUUUGGACAAUGGGCGAAAGCCUGAUCCAGCAAUGCCGCGUGUGUGAAGAAGGCCUUCGGGUUGUAAAGCACUUUUGUCCGGAAAGAAAUCCUUGGCUCUAAUACAGUCGGGGGAUGACGGUACCGGAAGAAUAAGCACCGGCUAACUACGUG
rnacentral:rRNA from 1 species